rnacentral:misc_RNA from 1 species
AAGUCGUAACAAGGUUUCCGUAGGUGAACCUGCGGAAGGAUCAUUACCAUAUCCAAAAAAACUUUACCAACCCACCGUGUGAACUGUUUUUUUUUUCUUGGCUGCGAAAGAAACCUGUGCGGUUGUGGGGUAGUGCGAGCGACCCUCGUGCUGCCCUGCCUCUCGCGCGGUUGCUGGCGCGGCCAGAAAAAAAUUUCCCAACCUCAACCCCUGGUCAAACCAACUUUUUUGCAACCUGACUUGGGUUUUUCUUGUGCGGCUCACUUUCGAGGGGCAGCCCAACAAAAACUCGACCAUAAAAACAAAACCAAUAGACAACUUAUAACGGUGGAUCUCUUGGCUCGU